rnacentral:rRNA from 1 species
GAUGAACGCUGGCGGCGUGCUUAAUACAUGUAAGUCGAACGGAGCGUUAGUAAUAGCGCUUAGUGGCGAACGGGUGAGUAACACGUUGGUGACCUGCCCCGAAGCGGGGAUAACAGUUCGAAAGGGCUGCUAAUACCCCAUGUCGUCAUGGUGCUUAGAAAGCCAUGCCGAAAGGUGCAAACCGCUCUGGGAGGGCCUGCGUCCCAUCAGCUAGUUGGUAGGUAAUGGCCUACCAAGGCGACGACGGGUAGGGGACCUGAGAGGGUGACCCCCCACACUGGCACUGAAACACGGGCCAGACACCUACGGGUGGCUG